GUGCGUUCCCAUUGUCAAGUGGCCUAUUCUACAAACAUCAUUCAGGUCAUGUUGGGCGACACUGUCUUUUCUGUGAUCUUUUCCUCUUCAUUCCUGAGAAAGGAGUGUUGAGAUCACCGGUUAUACUUGUGGAUUUGUCUGUCUCAUGCAUUAUCUCAGUUUCAUCUUCACGUAUUCUGAAACUCUCUCUUAUCAGGCACACACAUUUUUAGGAUUGCUAAGUCUUGAGGAAUUGACCCUUUUAUCACUGUGAACCGUCCCUCAUUGUCUGUUAGUCUUCCGUGUCUGAAGUCUCCUUUGAUAGUAACAUAGCCUUUCUAGCUUUCUUGUGGGCAGUGGUUGCAUGGCAUAUCUUUCACCCUUUUCACACCGUUAGCCUGUUGUACAUGUAAGGUGGGUUCCUUGUAGAUGGCAUGUAGUUGGAUCUUGGAUUUUCAUCCAGUCCAGCCAUCUCUGCUUUUUAAUGGUGUUUGUCCAUUUAACAUCUAACGUGCUUAAUGACACGGUUGAGAUUGGUCUGCCAUCUUGUUCCUCCUUAUUCCCAAUUUGUCUCUCUCUUCUUUGUUCCUUGUCCUCUUUGCAUGUCUUCUUCUGGGUUGACUGUGUUUGAAUUACUCCGUUUUGUCCCCAGGUAGAGGGGGGUGUGGCACACAUCCCCUCUGUCCACUUCCCACUGGACACGCGGCCACACCUCACAUCAGAGAGGCAGUGGGCUUCAAUGAGGCUGCUCACUUUUACCGUAUUUUGUAGAGCAGUGUUCAUAUAAGAUUUAUUUUUAUGAUAACAACAACAAUAACAACAAAAGUUUAAAAACCACGAACUAAGACAACAGCUUAACUGAUGGAUGUGGCAAUGAAGACUUAGUGAGGAUGGGUGAGUUCGUGUUUCCAUAAGCUCCAAGCCUGGCACAAAGGCCCGGCCAUUCCCGCCUGUAGGACUUCACUCGUUCACGGGGCCGAGCUGGUCAGCUGUGCAUGAUGCAGCGACCCCCUGGCCUAGCUCUGCAGCCUGGCUGGGCUGGGACACUCCAGCGACUUUCUUCCUCCUGCCACACAGAUAACAGCGGCACGUGCCCCAGGCUCUCCGAGGACCAGCGAGGGCAGGCAUGGGCGGAACGUGGAGCAGGCAACACCAGGCAACGGUCGCAGAUGGGGACACUGAGGCCUCAAGGGAUAACCUUGGAGCGCACAAAGCUGACGUCCUGUGGCUGCGCUGGAGCCACAGGCCUGGCAGCUGGCAGGAGGGUCCAGGCAGAGCGUGGGACCCCUGCCCAUCUUCCUUCCCUCUGCUGGGGGACCGAGGUUCUGUGGCCGGAUAACAGCCCGCCCCGAGGGCUCGCUCAGCCCUGGUCCUCUACGCAAGCUCUCUGGUUGUCUCCCGGUCAGCACACCCCGUGGAUGGAGAAACUGAAGAUGUCAUCAAGUUAAGCUGAGGUCAGCAGGACAGGCCCCAAAUCCGAUAGGACUGGAGUCCUUGUAAGGAGAGGGAGUUCUGGAUAUACGGAGAGGGGAGAAGGACGCGUGAGGACUGUGAAGGUGGAGGCAGAGAGUGGCUGCCACAAGCCAAGGAGCGCCUGGGGCCUCCAGAAGCUGCAGAGCUGGGAGAGGCAGGAAGGACCCUCCCCUGGAGCCUCUGGAGGGAGUGCGGCCCUGCGACACCUUGAGCUUGGAUGUCCAGCCUCCAGAAU
ensembl:lncRNA